CGCGCGCGAGCAUGCGAUUAAUCACUUCGGCGUUGGCUUUGUGAUCUGCUAGCACGGGGAACGAGCACUCGACGUGCUCCGCGCCAUUGUUUCCGUCGGGCCAUUGUCGAGCUUUCAGUUUCCGUCCAUAAACAUUUCCAGUAGCCGGGUCCGCGUGAGAGAUUCUUCGCGGCAUUGUCCACCGAAAAUUGUUUCCUACCAGCUACCGGCGCCCUCCCGUCCGAGGAACUCCAGUUAUCCCCAAGAGAAUUCGCUGAACCGGCGUCCUUGGAAAAUUAGCUCGCAUAUAUACCUAGAGACUUCGAAUUCUGCCUCUACGGUUGUUUUACGCGCAUCUCGUCACUGUACGCGAUACAUCUUGUUAACAUCUCGCGAGAUGAAUCCGCCUCGUCACGAUCGUUUAACGCGAUCACGUUGUCCUAAUAAAAUCCAUCCAAGGAUCUCAGACUGAUAUUGACGGAUCGUUAUUGCCAUCUUGGAUUCAAAUAAGAUGAAUUCAAAAUAAUAGAUUCAAGAGCAAACAUCAAUGAUACUUGUGAUGGCUUAAUAUACUGGCAAUUAGAUUCGAAGGAUGGAAUACCUGGCAACGAGAGAAGCGGAGACGGGUAAAAGGGUCAUGCUCUUUCCUCCUAAGAGAUAAUCUUCCGUGCUCGACUUCUGUGCUCCCUUGUAAUGCCAUAAUCCUGCGGCAGCAGAUACGGCGAGCAUCAACGCGAACACCAGCCAAUCUGCCCAAUGAAAGUAUCCUCUUUCCUCUGUUUCCAGCAUUCUGGCUCUGGGAAAC